rnacentral:rRNA from 1 species
CAAGAGCGUAUGUAAAAGUUGUUGCAGUUAAAAAGCUCGUAGUUGAACCUUGGGUUUGGUUGGCCGGUCCGCUUUUUUGCGAGUACUGGAUUCAACCGAGCCUUUCCUUCUGGCUAACCAGUCGUUUCGGCGGCUGGCGAACCAGGAUUUUUACUUUGAGAAAAUUAGAGUGUUCAAAGCAGGCAUUAGCUUGAAUAUAUUAGCAUGGAAUAAUAGAAUAGGACGUUAUGGUUCUACUUUGUUGGUUUCUAGGACCAUCGUAAUGAUUAAUAGGGACGGUCGGGGGCAUCAGUAUUCAGUUGUCAGAGGUGAAAUUCUUGGAUUUACUGAAGACUAACUACUGCGAAAGCAUUUGCCAAGGACGUUUUCAUUAA